AUUGAACGCUGGCGGCAUGCUUUACACAUGCAAGUCGAACGGUAACAGGUUAAGCUGACGAGUGGCGAACGGGUGAGUAAUGCAUCGGAACGUGCCCGGUCGUGGGGGAUAACGCAGCGAAAGUUGCGCUAAUACCGCAUACGAUCUGAGGAUGAAAGCGGGGGACCGUAAGGCCUCGCGCGAUCGGAGCGGCCGAUGUCAGAUUAGGUAGUUGGUGGGGUAAAGGCUCACCAAGCCAACGAUCUGUAGCUGGUCUGAGAGGACGACCAGCCACACUGGGACUGGGACACGGCCCAGACUCCUACGGGAGGCAGCAGUGGGGAAUUUUGGACAAUGGGCGAAAGCCUGAUCCAGCAAUGCCGCGUGCAGGAAGAAGGCCUUCGGGUUGUAAACUGCUUUUGUACGGAGCGAAAAGGUCUCCUCUAAUACAGGGGGCUCAUGACGGUACCGUAAGAAUAAGCACCGGCUGACUACGUGCCAGCAGCCGCCGUAA
rnacentral:rRNA from 1 species